GUCCUGAGUGGCACAAUGGGUCAGUGCAUCUGGCUGUUAACCAAAAUGGUUGGUGGUUCAAGCCCAACCAGGGACG